GAACUCUUGCUGUAGUUACUUCUGCUUAGAAUAGUAUAUUUAUGGUGAAACCCUCCCAUAGAAAAAUGUGACAUAUGAAACUUACUGAUUCUUCCAGUCCCUUUCUUUCUUCACUUUUCUUCUCUGGAAGUUGCUAUGUUUGAGUAGUUUAUAAAGUUUAAGGGUUGAGGGUAAAACGGGUGAUUGGACUUCACCUCUAAAAGAAAUAUCCAGUGCAGUGCAGGAUAGCUAUCCCAUUAUCUCAGUGCAGUUUCUACACUGAGGGACCUAUAGUGCAGGAGGGGCUUUAUUUCCUCUAUGGGAUCUAUUUUAUGUAUCAAGGUGUAACUUUGGCUUGAGGUGAAAACAAAUUUCAAGUAAUAUAACUCCAUUAGCAUUAUUAGUAGCCUAUUACCUCCACAGUCCCUCACACACUUUUAGUAGGUUGACUAGCAGUUUGAAUUUCUUGGUAGGGUUGUGUUUUCAUUGUGUUGUACUUAUCACUAUUUUAAAGGAUACUUUGCAAUAGCUGCAUAUGGGUGUGUUGGUCAUUCUGCAAGUAAAUCUGGAAUCCUUUUGGAGAUUAUAAUAUAAUAUACUUAAAGUACUAUUUUUUUUUUCAAAUUACAAAGAGACAAAAGACAAAGCCUUUUGCUUCUACUAUAAAUAGGACACCUGAGUCAAUUAUGUCCCUGUUCCAGUGAUGGAACUCAGCAUAUUUCUAAGGAGCAGAGAAUUCAGAAACUCCCAUGGGCCUCCCACAGCUGGAAUCUAAAACAACCACAGAAGUCUCAGAAAAGAGAAUACAAAAGCAUACAACAAAAUAAAGGAGUCAUAAGAGUACAGGAAUCCCAUACAUGAAGUUGAACAAUAUUCGGUUUUAAUUAUUCACAAUUAUCAUUUGUAUAAUUGUAGGUAAGUUUAUCUUUCUAAUACUGGCUUUGUCUUUUUUAAAAAAUGCAGAUAAGUGGCCGGGUGUGGUAGCUCACGCCUGUAAUCCCAGCACUUUGGGAGGCCGAGGCGGGCGAAUCACAAGGUCAGGAGAUAGAGACCAUCCUGGCUAACACGGUGAAACCCCGUCUCUACUAAAAAUACAAAAAAAAAUACAAAAAACUAGCCAGGCGUGGUGGCGGGCGCCUGUAGUCCCAGCUACUUGAGAGGCUGAGGCAGGAGAAUGGCGUGAACCCAGGGGGCGGAGCUUGCAGUGAGCCGAGAUUACGCCACUGCACUCCAGCUUGGGCGACAGAGCGAGACUUCGUCUCAAAAAAAAAAAAACAAAAGAAAAGUAAAUAAGUAAAUAUCAGCUACAUUAGGCAUUGUGAAGAACAAAUCAAAUAUUAUGUAAAACUUUUUUUGAAACAGUGCCUAACAUGUAUAGCACAUCAAUAAAUAGGGAUUUUAUUGAUUAUUUUAAAUUAAUCUUGCAACAAUAAAAACGAAGAGAUUAAAAGACAAACUUCUAUUCGAAUCUGGGGGUAAAUUUCCUUACUUAACCACUAUAAUUAAAAUUGAAUUUACAAUUGAAAAUUGAUAUUGCUAAAUUCUGUCUUACA
rnacentral:lncRNA from 1 species